CUUUCCAGUGCUUUCUGUCCUGUGGUGCUCGGGGCCUUGCCCCCUCUGGGUGGCUGGGGUGGGGUGGGCAGAGGUCUGCCUGGGCCCUUGAGCUCUGGCCUGGUCCUCUCUCUGUGUCAGAUCUGCUGGAGGUUCUGAGUGACAUAGACGAGAUGUCCCGGCGGAGACCCGAGAUCCUGAGCUUCUUCUCGACCAACCUGCAGCGGCUGAUGAGCUCGGCCGAGGAGUGUUGCCGCAACCUUGCC
rnacentral:sRNA from 1 species